CUGAUAAACCAGGAGAUGUCCUCGAGCCACAGGACAGGUACUGCACAAGGCAGCAGCAGUACAAACUUCACCCACAUUGUCCUGGCAUGGUGUCUCCAUUCUCCUCCAGAGCAACCAUCUCUAAGCCUGAGACGCUUUACCAGUCUACGCACCCAUUCAAUCCAUGGCCUCU
rnacentral:sRNA from 1 species